rnacentral:rRNA from 1 species
UGGAGUCUGCAACUCGACUCCAUGAAGUCGGAAUCGCUAGUAAUCGUGGAUCAGAAUGCCACGGUGAAUACGUUCCCGGGCCUUGUACACACCGCCCGUCACACCAUGGGAGUGGGCUGCAAAAGAAGUGGGUAGUUUAACCUUCGGGAGGACGCUCACCACUUUGUGGUUCAUGACUGGGGUGAAGUCGUAACAAGGUAGCGCUAGGGGAACCUGGCGCUGGAUCACCUCCUUAUACGAUGAU